UACGUAGGGUGCAAGCGUUGCCCGGAUUUACUGGGCGUAAAGAGCGCGCAGGCGGUCGUUCAAGUCGCGUGUGAAAGCCCCCGGCUCAACUGGGGAGGGUCACGCGAUACUGAUCGACUCGAAGGCAGGAGAGGGUAGUGGAAUUCCCGGUGUAGUGGUGAAAUGCGUAGAUAUCGGGAGGAACACCAGUGGCGAAGGCGACUACCUGGCCUGUUCUUGACGCUGAGGCGCGAAAGCUAGGGGAGCAAACAGG
rnacentral:rRNA from 1 species